rnacentral:ncRNA from 1 species
GUGGUGUUGCAUGGCUGUUCUUAGUUGGUGGAGCAAUUUGUCUGUUUAAUUCCUGUAACUAGGGAGACCCUGGCAUGCUAACUAGUUAUGCAACCCUGGAGCAGUUGGCAUCCUCCAACUCCUUAGAGGGACAAGUUCAGCCACCAAGAUUGAGCAAUAACAGGUCUAUGAUGCCUU